rnacentral:lncRNA from 1 species
CCUUCUCCCCCCUUUCUCGCACGCGGUGGAGACGAGCUGAGAACGCGGAGCCGACGCGGAAGGAGUGGACGUUGAUCGAUGGUGCUUGGACGCGCAUGGACGGCUGGGGAUGCUCUCGAACGGCUGGAUGAACGCGUGGAUCCGGAAGAUGCGCUGGUGGGGAGAAAGAUCCGGGAGCGCAUGAGAGUUGAAGAUGAAGCUUGGACUGCUGGCGCUUGGGAUUCGGAUGACUGGAUCGAAGGAUGGGGCGCAGACGAGUGCUGGAUCACACGCGGACGGGAUCUGAGGAGGCUGGAACGUGGAAGCUUGGGAGAUUUGAUCGCAGAAGGCUGAGAUCUACAUGAGAUACGGAUCCAGAAGCAGUGGAUGCGGGAGAAUCGCGGGAGAAAAGGAUCUUUACUGGGAUGGAGAUGCUGGGAAGCGCGGGUGGAUCAUGAUCAUGGAGCUGGAAUCUCGGGAGAGCUGGGCGGAAGAAAAGAAUCUAGGCUCGGGGCUGAGACGUGCUGAGACAUGGUGGAUGGCUCGCGGAAGCUUGGAGAAGCUGGGAUGAGGUGUGCGCUUGUGAGGAGCUCGGACGUGGACGGCUGGGCAGCGAGUUGCUCGUGGAAGAAGCAUACUCACGGGAUGACGGCUGGGAUGCCUCCCGCGUGACACGUGGAAUAGAUGCUGGCUUGCAGAUGCUUGGGCUUGUAGAAAAAUAAAGCUGCG